AGCAGCCAGAAACUGUAAUGCCACAGAUCAGAGAGGCUUCAUCAUCACCAUCUUCGCCGUACGAUCAGAGCAUGAGACUUCACAUCUGGAGCACAGGAGAGAUUCUGUGAUAAGUCCUCCUUCUAGCUUGUCCCACAAGCAGUCGGUGAGAUUUACUCACAACAAAAAGGGUUAAUGACAUUAUUUUCACGAAAACAUGUAUUAAUUCUUUGUAAAGUGUUUAAAUUGUGUUUUCACUUGACCUUAGGAGUGUUAUUUUGAGUGUAUUUUAAUAUCUGUACUCAGGUGUUUCCCUCUGUGAUCCAUCCCCUUCAGAGCUGAGACACUCAGGACUGAACAGACUGCACAGUUUCUGUGACUGAGCCUCCAAAACAUCUUCUUUGAAACCACACAUGAUAGAAGGGCUUUAUAUUUGCAGCAGCACUACUAAAGUCGGCAGGAAUGUUGCUGCAGGAAAACAUCCCUGCAGAUCACCAUCAUUGUCAGACUGACUGUGCCUCCUCUGUGCAGUGUCAAGAUCCUCCCUAAAUGAGUGUCUAUCCUGCUUCUGUGCUGCUUGCCACACAUCAAACACUGGCCGGAUGACAGGGAGGAUCCACUCUGAAGUCACUGGACAUGAUGAGGAUCAUAUGGGACUUUAUAGUUUCACAGAAAUGUUGUGCUCUUUGAUUACAGGUUUUAAAUGGACAUAAUGACUGCCUCUCUCUGAUCUGACAGGCUAAAGGAUUGUUUUCAUUGUUAGUGCUCUGUACAGUGUAUGCUUAUUUAAUAUUUCAUCACAGAGCAAACCUUUAUUUAUUUAACAUAUUUUUAUUUUGUUUUAAUGUUGAAUUAACUGUGGGGAUUUUUUUAAGUGGGCACUCGGGAUGUCAUAUGACCAGAAAUGUGGUAACUGUAAUUCAACAGUAUGUAAAGAAAGAAUCUGCUAAGAACAAAACACAGACAAAAAACCCCAAGAGAACUCAAAUUUGUUCCAUGUAAUCCAAUCUAAAACAUUUUAAACUGCUGAACAGCAACACAAACAGUGUUAAAGAAACAGUGUUAACAGAAUAAUUAUGAUGAGUUUGUACCAAAGUUUCAGGUCACAUGGCACACCUAGUGUGUAGUGUGGGGUAUCAGCUGGUAAGUAUAGGUUUUUUCAUAUUUGUGUCCUUAGAGUUCAGAUAGAUAAAGCCUUGUGUAUAAUAAUUAGUCAUAACCACAACUCAAAGUCAGGGACUAACUAAAUUUGGGACUUCGUGUCUGAGCCCAGGUUAAAACA